rnacentral:rRNA from 1 species
GUGGGGAAUAUUGGACAAUGGGGGGAACCCUGAUCCAGCCAUGCCGCGUGUGUGAAGAAGGCCUUUUGGUUGUAAAGCACUUAAGCGAGGAGGAGGCUACCGAGAUUAAUACUCUUGGAUAGUGGACGUUACUCGCAGAAUAAGCACCGGCUAACUCUGUGCCAGCAGCCGCGGUACUACAGAGGGUGCAAGCGUUAAUCGGAUUUACUGGGCGUAACGCGCGCGUAGGUGGCCAAUUAAGUCAAAUGUGAAAUCCCCGAGCUUAACUUGGGAAUUGCAUUCGAUACUGGUUGGCUAGAGUAUGGGAGAGGAUGGUAGAAUUCCAGGUGUAGCGGUGAAAUGCGUAGAGAUCUGGAGGAAUACCGAUGGCGAAGGCAGCCAUCUGGCCUAAUACUGACACUGAGGUGCGAAAGCAUGGGGAGCAAACAGGAUUAGAUACCCUAGUAGUCC